rnacentral:rRNA from 1 species
AGUGAACGCUGGCGGUAGGCCUAACACAUGCGAGUCGAACGGCAGCACAGUAAGAGCUUGCUCUUACGGGUGGCGAGUGGCGGACGGGUGAGGAAUACAUCGGAAUCUACUUUUUCUUGGGGGACAACGUAGGGAAACUUACGCUAAUACCGCAUACGACCUACGGGUGAAAGCAGGGGAUCUUCGGACCUUGCGCGAUUGAAUGAGCCGAUGUCGGAUUAGCUAGUUGGCGGGGUAAAGGCCCACCAAGGCGACGAUCCGUAGCUGGUCUGAGAGGAUGAUCAGCCACACUGGAACUGAGACACGGUCCAGACUCAUACGGGAGGCAGCAGUGGCGAUUAUUCGACCAAGGAGCCAAGCCAGACCCAGCCAUACCACAAGAGUGAAAACGGCCUUCGUGUUAUACAGCACUUUUGUUAGCAAAGAAAGGAAGAAGGAUAAUACCCCUAUGUUCUGACGGUACCCGAAAAGUAAGCACAGGCUAACUACGUG